GAUUUAUGGGUUUGGUAGAAUGUAACCGUGAGCGAUUAUUAUGGGUGUGUAAUAUUGCAGCACAUUAAUCCGGGAAUCUCUCUCUUUCUGGCAGGAAUUCAUUGAGAUUAGACGUUGAUUACUAACAGUUCUUUUAUUAACCUUAUUUGCGGGAUCACUCAGUUUACUCUGUUACGUUCAUUGUUACUAGUUAAUAGUUUACAGUUCUAAAUACUUAGUUUCUAGCAAACUCUAAGGAAUAGAGUAAAGAAAUCACUUCAUUGGCGACGAGGAAAAAGAACAACAAAUUCCACGAAAAAAUUCGUGUUAAUUUUCAAAAGUUAGGACAUUUCUCAUUGAGUUCAGGAUCUUGCGGCUAGUGUAUUUAGCCGGCAAACGAACUUUGCAAUCUGUGAAAGUGCUGGUGUUCAGGGCUUCUUUGCUCGACAUCUGUGACUGUGUUCAGGGCUUCCUUGCUCGAUAGUUGUGUACUUGUUAUUGUGGGCUUCUUUGUCCAAUAACUUGACAACAUCCUGGGGACGCAGGCAGAAUCUGGCAGAGAUUGGAGAUGGCAGCAUCUCAACAGAAAGGUAGGACUGCCUAAGGAUGGAUCAAACAAUAUUGGAGGUGCAAUUUGCGGCAUACCGAGGGACACUCAAUUACCCCCAUGGCAGGGCAGGACCCCCCCCCCCUGGCCCCCAGUGAAUGCCGACUUGUUCUUUUCUGCAAUGAAGACUUGUUUAGGGACGUCUUGGCAUCUAAGUGCAGAUUUUGAAGCAAAUGUGACAUCAACCCUCUAGACCGAUGAGAGAAACAACACUGAACUUAAAUUUCGGAUAUAACCCUGAACAAUUGUCAUCAAUCACAUGACAUGCUGCUCACCACUAGAGGAAGACCCCUAUUGAAUUUGGCUUUGAUUCCUCUAAGUAACUGACCAGACACUAUAAGGUCCAGGUGCUGAUAAAAUACACAAGAUCAAGUCCUGGUGUACUACACCCUACAGUGUUUCUGGCGGCUGGUGGAGCGAUUAAAGAAAAGCCAUGCUAAUGUUGCAAUGAUAUGUAUGCUAAACAAAAUAAAUAAAUUAAAAAAAAAUGUU